UACAGAGGGGGCAAGCGUUGUUCGGAAUUACUGGGCGUAAAGGGCGCGUAGGCGGCCUGUUAAGUCGAACGUGAAAUCCCCGGGCUCAACCCGGGAACUGCGUCCGAUACUGGCAGGCUUGAAUCCGGGAGAGGGAUGCGGAAUUCCAGGGUGUAGCGGUGAAAUGCGUAGAUAUCUGGAGGAACACCGGUGGCGAAGGCGCAUCCUGGACCGGGCAUUGACGCCUGAGGCGCGAAAGCCAGGGGAG
rnacentral:rRNA from 1 species